CGCGGCGUGGAGCAGUGGACAGCUCAACAGGCUCAUAACCUGUAGGUCGUGGGUUCGAAUCCCACCGCCGCUACCA
rnacentral:tRNA from 1 species